UCAAAUAAGAAAAAAAAAAAUUAGAGGGUUGGCAAAGAGUGGAUGAUGGGACCGACCUGAAAAAGCAAACUGUGGCAGAAAUCAGUUUAUGUAUACCAAACCUUCUUGGCUGAUCAUGCUGAAAGAGAAAUGUCAUCACACCAAUAGCAAUAUUCAUUAGCUACUGAAAAACUAAAGCCUCGAUAUUUCCAAAGGGUAUGACGUUUGUGUUAAAACCCAGAAGAGAAAUCAAAGAAUCCCAUGCUGCCCACAAAGAAAAACUCUAUCCAACGUAAACAUAAAGAAGCUUAGGUGUAACCCACGGUGCUUGGAAAAGGCAGCUUAAAACACAAGCACACCAUGGUUGGCCGGCCACAAACAGUUAAACCGCUCAUGCCUCUGUGUCGGUGGUAAUGGACUGUAAUGGGCAUGCAACAUACACGCACCCUCCCCCAGCUGACCUGAUGUGUUAAUGCAUCUGCACAGACAACAUCAAAGACUAGUUCUACAGUUUUCUAAGAGGAAAGCAGAACUUCAGCCAGAACCCCCAAUCAGUACCUUCCGUCUGCAUUUGACAAAAACCACAAUUCCUAGAAAACGGGUUGUCUUAAUCAAAACCAGACUGAGGCUAUCCCACAAUGGAAAAGACCAAAGACUUUCCUAAUCUUUUCUUUUCUUCUGAUAAUUUUCGUUUAGAAAGCUGUAUCCUCUGUGAUAUGUUAGGUCUAAAUGUGUCUACACAGCAGACAGGAUUUAAGAAGAGAACAUCACCCUAUGGAAGCACACAUCUGGAUGGACAGCUCCCAUGAACAUACCCUUGAGCAAGGGUCAGAGUUGAAAGGCACCGUCCUUCUCUGUUCCUGAAAGGCUACUUCACUCUGGCAUUCUGAAUGUAGAUAAAGAACUGUAGCUAUAAGGAGCCUCUAUCCUGCUUCUAGCUUCCCCGAAAUCAUACCUCCAAACUGUCAGCAAAACAUUACCUUGUUCCAUGAUUAGUGUCCUAUCAGGGAAAGUAAUCCAUACGUGGGUAAACCCCCAGAUUUCUGUUGGAAUGGCCACAGCAAGCCAAGGAAAGGGCUGUGAGCCUCCUCCUCUGCGAUGGAAGACUCAUUCUGUUCUCCACGGGCAUUUCCAGAAGGUGUUAGUUUAAGUAAGAGUCUCAGUGUGCCCCAAAUGCCACAACUGCAAAGCGCAUGAUGAGGAUCCUCCCCACCAGAGAGAGGAAACAUAAGCAGCAUCAAUCAACAAUUAACAGCACUCAUGGACAUCUGUGCAGAUAAGCGGAUUCCUACAAAAUUCUAAGUCUCACUAUGCAAGAACUUUCCUGAUUGUCUUCCCUCAGCAGUGGCCAGAGGAGGCCCCUGAGGGGUAUUUUGGAGCACUGGAAGGAACAGGCACGCCCUGAAGAUUGCCUUCUUUUAUAGCCCUUUUCUGUGUGCUCCUGGAUCUAAGGAAUUUCCUCUGACCAAUCUGUUAGAGGGCACAAAU